GCAAUGAGUCACACACGUGUGGGGCUGCAGAGAGAGGCACAGAGAUGCCGGGUGCCAGGCCAAGCCAGAUGGGUGCCCAAGGCAAGCUAUGGGAAGACAGAGAGAAGAGGAUUCGAACUCAAACUUUGAUGAAUCUGCCCCAAAAUGUGGUGUAAAAAGCAGAAUAUAUCAGCAUCUUUUAAAGUGGUCCUCCACCAGGU